rnacentral:rRNA from 1 species
AUGGCCCACUCCUCCUCGACGCCCCCUCCCAAAUCCACUUCUCCUCCUCGCUCGCUCGAUCCUGUCGAUCUGGACGAAGUCAGACGCCACGGCCACCAUGACCGACCCCGUCCACAUGGCCACUGCCCUCCCUGCGGGCUAGGAGCUUGUCGAGGAGCUCCGAACGCCUUCGCUACUUCGUCUGCGCCAACGAGAUCAAGUCUAGCACCCCCGCAUCGACGUCGCUGCCGUCUUCCUCAACCUUGGGCCACCGUGACAUUGCCGUUCGAUCCGCGCCGCCCCGAGCUCCCAUGUCUUCCCCUAGGGCGCCAUUGCCACUGCCAUGAUCUCCUCUUGCCUUUCCCCUGUUUCCCCUCUCGUUUGCUCUCGUUAGGUAUUUCGCCGUGGCCGAGAACCGCCGUCCGCCAUGGCCAUUGCAGGGGUAGCCACCGAGCUCCUUGGCUUGACCUCGUGGCACAUGCCCGCUCCUAUGCACGCCCAUGCCCGAGCCUGCCGCUCUUCUUCCGCGCCCGCGGGGCCACUCCCUUUCCAUGCCCACGCCCGUGCUACACCGCGUCGGUCGCGCCCGCCGCUGCCGUCGCGCUCGCCGCAGCCACCGCACCACUGUGCCCCGCGCGACACACACCCUGGCCGCGCGCCACACUCUCGCUGGCUGCGCUCGCCCCGUCUGCUGCCGCCUAUCCCUUCGCUCGCCCCGCUGUCGCGCCCCUGCCUCGCGCUGCCUCCAGUCGUGGCCAUCUUCUGCCGGCCGCCCCCUCAGCCACGCCGGCCGCAUCUCUGCCCUCCACCGUCGGCCGCUCGCCUCGCCUGCUGCGUGUUGCUUCCUGCUGCUAUGCGCUGCUCUACCGCUGGUACCCUGUUGCGCCAUGCCCUCGACACCGCCGUGGACAAAUGUGGCGGAGGGAUUGUUAA